CCAAUAGCGUAUAUUAAAGUUGUUGCAGUUAAAAAGCUCGUAGUUGAAUUUCGAGAUCGGUUUAUUGGUCGUGCUAUUGUACGUACUGGUAUUACCGGUUUCUCCUUUCUGACGAACCUUAAUGCCAUUAAUUUGGUGUUUUGGGGAAAUCAGGACUGUUACUUUGAAAAAAUUAGAGUGUUUAAAGCAGGCUCACGCUUGAAUACAUUAGCAUGGAAUAACGGAAUAGGAAGUUUGAUUCUAUUUUGUUGGUUUCUAGGAUCGACGUAAUGAUUAAUAGGGAUAGUUGGGGGCAUUAGUAUUCAAUUGUCAGAGGUGAAAUUCUUGGAUUUAUUGAAGACUAACUACUGCGAAAGCAUUUGCCAAGGAUGUUUUCAUUAAUCAAGAACGAAAGUUAGGGGAUCGAAGACGAUCAGAUACCGUCGUAGUCUUAACCAUAAACUAUGCCGACUAGGGAUCGGAUGAUGUUAAUUUUUUAAUGACUCAUUCGGCGCCUUACG
rnacentral:rRNA from 1 species